rnacentral:lncRNA from 1 species
UUCCAGGAUUUUAAUACGGGCAUCAUCUCCACAUUUGCAUGAAAGUAUUUCCAGAUAAGGCAGCUCCAGAAUUCUGGAAAGGUUGAUUAGGAAAAAGUAGUAACAGCAACACAUUAUGCAGAGCAAGCAUAAACUGCCAGUAAUUAACCUUUACAAACAGACACAAAAGAAUCAAUCAUACAAAGCUGUGUAUGCACAAGCACAAUGUUCAAUGUCAUUAUUUAUGGUAUUUGUACAUAUGACACCUUAUGCAUGUCUGAAUUCAAACUGGCUACAAUUCAUGGUACAGUACUAACUUGAGGUAUUAUAGAGUUUUAAAUAUUGAUCAAGCAUCAGCCAGCUCACUACAAGUCUACAAUGUACAGGGAUACAUUGGGCAAUCAACACUUCCAGACUGAAAAUAACUUCACUUUUUUAAGUAAGAUUUGCUUUCU